GUGGGGAAUAUUGGACAAUGGGCGAAAGCCUGAUCCAGCCAUGCCGCGUGUGUGAAGAAGGUCUUCGGAUUGUAAAGCACUUUAAGUUGGGAGGAAGGGCAGUAAGUUAAUACCUUGCUGUUUUGACGUUACCGACAGAAUAAGCACCGGCUAACUUCGUGCCAGCAGCCGCGGUAAUACGAAGGGUGCAAGCGUUAAUCGGAAUUACUGGGCGUAAAGCGCGCGUAGGUGGUUUUGUAAGUAGGAGGUGAAAUCCCCGGGCUCAACCUGGGAACUGCCUCCAAAACUGCAUGACUAGAGUACGGUAGAGGGUAGUGGAAUUUCCUGUGUAGCGGUGAAAUGCGUAGAUAUAGGAAGGAACACCAGUGGCGAAGGCGACUACCUGGACUGAUACUGACACUGAGGUGCGAAAGCGUGGGGAGCAAACAGGAUUAGAAACCCUUGUAGUCC
rnacentral:rRNA from 1 species